rnacentral:rRNA from 2 species
AGAGUUUGAUCCUGGCUCAGGACGAACGCUGGCGGCGUGCCUAAUACAUGCAAGUCGAACGAACUCUGGUAUUGAUUGGUGCUUGCAUCAUGAUUUCCUUUUGAGUGAGUGGCGAACUGGUGAGUAACACGUGGGAAACCUGCCCACAGGCGGGGGAUAACACCUGGAAACAAAUGCUAAUACCGCAUAACGGCUUGGACCGCAUGGUCCGAGCUUGAAAGAUGGCUUCGGCUAUCACUUUUGGAUGGUCCCGCGGCGUAUUAUCUAGAUGGUGGGGUAACGGCUCACCAUGGAAAUGAUACCUAGCCGACCUGAGAGGGUAAUCGGCCACCUUGGGACUGAGACACGGCCCAAACUCCUACGGGAGGCAGCAGUAGGGAAUCUUCCACACUGGACGAAAGUCUGAUGGAGCCACGCCGCGUGAGUGAAUAAGGGUUUCGGCUCGUGAAACUCUGUUGUUAAAGAAAAACAUAUCUGACAGUAACUGUUCACGUAUUGACGGUAUUUAACCACAAAGCCACGGCUAACUACGUGCCAGCCGCCGCUGUAAUACAUAGGUGGCAAGCGUUGUCCGGAUUUAUUGUGCGUAAAGAGAGCGCAUGCGGUUUUUUAAGUCUGAUGUGAAAGCCUUCGGCUCAACCGAAGAAUUGCAUCGAAAACUGGGAAAC